UAGGGAAUCUUCCACAAUGGACGCAAGUCUGAUGGAGCAACGCCGCGUGAGUGAAGAAGGUUUUCGGACCGUAAAGCUCUGUUGUUGGUGAAGAAGGAUAGAGGUAGUAACUGGCCUUUAUUUGACGGUAAUCAACCAGAAAGUCACGGCUAACUACGUGCCAGCAGCCGCGGUAAUACGUAGGUGGCAAGCGUUGUCCGGAUUUAUUGGGCGUAAAGCGAGCGCAGGCGGAAGAAUAAGUCUGAUGUGAAAGCCCUCGGCUUAACCGAGGAAUUGCAUCGGAAACUGUUUUCUUGAGUGCAGAAGAGGAGAGUAGAACUCCAUGUGUAGCGGUGGAAUGCGUAGAUAUAUGGAAGAAUACCAGUGGCGAAGGCGGCUCUCUGGUCUGCAACUGACGCUGAGGCUCGAAAGCAUGGGUAGCGAACAGGAUUAGAUACCCUU
rnacentral:rRNA from 1 species